UACAGAGGGGGCAAGCGUUGUUCGGAAUUACUGGGCGUAAAGGGCGCGUAGGCGGCCUUCUAAGUCGAACGUGAAAUCCCCGGGCUCAACCCGGGAACUGCGUCCGAUACUGGAAGGCUUGAAUCCGGGAGAGGGAUGCGGAAUUCCAGGUGUAGCGGUGAAAUGCGUAGAUAUCUGGAGGAACACCGAUGGCGAAGGCAGGUCUCUGGGCCGAUACUGACGCUGAGGAGCGAAAGCGUGGGGAGCGAACAGG
rnacentral:rRNA from 1 species